GACAGAGGGUGCGAACGUUGUUCGGAAUUACUGGGCGUAAAGCGCGUGUAGGCGGCCGGAGAAGUCGGGUGUGAAAGCCCUUGGCUCAACUGAGGAAGUGCACUCGAAACUGAUCGGCUGGAGUUCCGGAGAGGAUGGUGGAAUUCUCGGUGUAGAGGUGAAAUUCGUAGAUAUCGAGAGGAACACCGGUGGCGAAGGCGGCCAUCUGGACGGAAACUGACGCUGAGACGCGAAAGCGUGGGGAG
rnacentral:rRNA from 1 species